rnacentral:lncRNA from 1 species
AUGCGCGCAACGCCCGUUCCCAAAACCCCCGGACGAAAACACGGGUUUAUCAGGGGGGCCCCCAAAUCCCUCUCCCUUCGCCCCGCAUUUCGCCACUUGCCUCAGCAAACGUGUGAAGGGCCUGAGGAUUCCGCACGGCAGCAACGGGGCUGGGAAAAGAAGUGGAGGGGAGGGGAGGGGCGCGGGAUGGGUUCCCCUCGCUUUUUCUUACAGUGGGAAGCGGGGCGCUUCACCCAGAUUUAGGAGGGAUGCGUGUGGUGGUGGUGGGCGCUUGAUCACGCUCCGCUGCUGGCCCUCGGUUGCUACGGGUUUCGCGGGUCCCGGCGGCGUUGCUUUCCUGCCGAGCUUUUCAAUCGCGCUCCGCGGUUUCCACGUGGACCGGCCGACGUCUCGCCAGGUCGAUCUGCUUGCUUAAGACUGCCGCCGCAGCCUGCCUGCCGGUCGCUUGCCCACGUCUUCCUUCUGUUGCUCUUCCACUUGCUUGGCGACCGGGAUCGUGGCUUGGCCAGCGCGGGGAGAAAUGAUGCGAUAUUCCGGGCCGUCAUUGGCCACGCAAGACGGGCGGGAACACGAGGGCGGCGAUCGCGGGCGAUCUCAGCGCGGGCGGGUUUGGCCCCCAGCGCGCCUCCGCCUCCGCCUGGCGCAAGCGGGAGGAUUGCAGGGCUCGAAUGGAGCCGCAGCGCAAGAACGCGUGGGAGGCGAUGGCGAGGAGCCUCUGAGAAUAAGCAGAGCGCCCCUGCUUCGAAGCCACAGGAGGGACCCUCCGAUCCCAUCCUUUUAAGAAAACGGGGUCGGUCCAGUCAGAGGUCAGAUGUUCAGGGGAACAAGCGCUGCCUCGGUUCCCGUGCAUCCAGGUCUCUUUUCAAAAUGUGGAGACCCCCCCCUUUAAGAACAACCCUCUCAUGUGGAAGAAAAACCCACAGCGGCGCCACAGGCGUGUGUCCGAAUUUGGGGAAAAAUAUGGCGGCGGCUGCAAGGCUGUUCCUCGGCCUUAUGAAAUCCUCGCUCUCGG